CCUACGGGUGGCAGCAGUGAGGAAUAUUGGUCAAUGGGCGCGAGCCUGAACCAGCCAAGUAGCGUGAAGGAUGACUGCCCUACGGGUUGUAAACUUCUUUUAUAAAGGAAUAAAGUGAGGCACGUGUGCCUUUUUGUAUGUACGUUAUGAAUAAGGAUCGGCUAACGCCGUGCCAGCAGCCGCGGUAAUACGGAGGAUCCGAGCGUUAUCCGGAUUUAUUGGGGGUAAAGGGAGCGUCGAUGGGUUGUUAAGUCCGUUGUGAACGUUUGCGGCUCAACCGGAAAAUUGCCAUUGAUACUGGCAGUCUUGAUUACAGUUGAGGUCGGCGGAAUUCGUUGUGUAGCG
rnacentral:rRNA from 1 species